UCCGAGUUGACCCCGGCAGUCUCCCACGAGUCCCCGGCAUAACCCGCUGGCAACAUAGGACAAGGGUUGCGCUCGUUGCGGGACUUAACCCAACAUCUCACGACACGAGCUGACGACAGCCAUGCACCACCUGUACACAGGCCACAAGGGAACCAACAUCUCUGCCAGCAUCCUGCGCAUGUCAAACCCAGGUAAGGUUCUUCGCGUUGCAUCGAAUUUAUCCACAUGCUCCGCCGCUUGUGCGGGCCCCCGUCAAUUCGUUUGAGUUUCAGCCUUGCGACCGUACUCCCCAGGCGGGGCACUUACUGCGUUAGCGCCGGCACCGACGGGAUGUAUACCGCCGACACCUAGUGCCCAUCGUUUACGGCGUGGACUAC
rnacentral:misc_RNA from 1 species